GACGAACGCUGGCGGCGUGCCUAAUACAUGCAAGUCGAACGAGUUGCGUACUGUUGAGUAACCCGUGUGUGAUCUGCCUUUCACUCUGGGAUAAGCUUGGGAAACUGGGUUUAAUACCGGAUAGUGCAAGAUGAGUUCGCGGCGUAUCAGCUUGUUGGUGGGGUAAUGGCUACCAAGGCGCGACGGGUAGCCGGCCUGAGAGGAUGUACGGCCACAUUGGGACUGAGACACGGCCCAGACUCCUACGGGAGGCAGCAGUGGGGAAUAUUGCACAAUGGGCGGAAGCCUGAUGCAGCGACGCCGCGUGGGGGAUGACGGCCUUCGGGUUGUAAAGUACUUUCAGCGAGGAGGCGUUACUCGCAGAAGAAGCACCGGCUAACUCCGUGCCAGCAGCCGCGGUAAUUC
rnacentral:rRNA from 1 species